UUGUUUUACACGAAUUUUACUACUUUAUUAAACAUAAUAUUUGUAAUACUUUAUAACAAAAAUUUAAUUGAUAGAUGUUUAUAGGCUUUUAGAGUGUGGAAGGUUCGGUCUUGUUUGGUGAACCAUGUACAAUAUUUAGGGAUUGCUUUAAUUCUUGUGGUCAUGGUGCAAUGCCCUUUUGCCAGAAUGGACAUUGCAGUUGCG
rnacentral:lncRNA from 1 species